UAAUUGACCUCAGUGUAUGAAGAGGACUCUCCAUUUACAUGUACAAAUUGGAGUCUAUUAGAUAGAUAUGAUACAAACCACUGCAGCGCAGUACCUGUAAUACCUACAGCAUGUUCUAAUCGCUCUAAUAGGAUAUUAUGGUCAACAGUAUCAAACGCAGCACUGAGGUCUAGCAGGACAAGCACAGAGAUGAGUCCACUGUCAGAGGCCAUAAGAAGAUCAUUUGUAACCUUCACUAAAGCUGUUUCUGUGCUGUGAUGAGCUCUGAAACCUGACUGAAACUCUUCAAAUAAGCCAUUCCUCUGCAGAUGAUCUGUUAGCUGUUUGACAACUACUCUUUCAAGGAUGUUUGAUAUGAAAGGAAGGUUGGAGAUUGGCCUAUAAUUAGCUAAGACUGCUGGGUCUAGAGAUGCUUUUUAAGUAAAGGUUUAACUACAGCCAGCUUGAAGGCCUGUGGUACAUAGCCGAUUAUUAGAGAUAGGUUGAUCAUAUUUAAGAUUGAAGAAUUAAUUAAUGGCAGGACUUCUUUGAGCAGUUUUGUAGGAAUGGGGUCUAAAAGACACGUUGAUGAUUUGGAGGAAUUAAUUAUUGAAGUUAACUCAGAAAGAUCAAUUGGAGAAAAAGAGUCUAACUUAACAUCUAUGGUACUAAAAGUAGCUGUAGAUAAUAUUACAUCUGUGGGAUGAUUAUUGGUAAUUUUUUCUCUAAUGAUAAAAAUUUUAUUUGUGAAGAAGUUCAUGAAGUCAUUACUAGUUAAUGUUAAAGGGAUUGUUGGCUCAGUAGAGCUUGUUAAGGGUUCAGAAAUUGAGGAGGAAGACCAAAAAUAAUGACCACUGAUCCUGCCGGGUGCAAUUAGACGACAUUUUAAUGAAUACACAUGUGGAGUCCAACACUGUGCAGAUUCAGUGUUGAACUGUCUUACAAUAGUCAGAACAAAGACUUUAUAGGGGUGAAAUAGUACAGCCCCCUUCUGUUGCCAGGCAGACUCAAGAUCUCCUACGUCAAUCCAAAACCACAACUGUUCAGUUGACUUUGACAUAGUUUAAAAAGAACAUUGUCUUCGCGUCGAAGCCAGGUGUCUUCCUGUUGUCCCCGGACGCUCGCUUAUCUGUCUGGAACAUCAGGCACACG
rnacentral:lncRNA from 1 species